UACGGAAGGCAGCAGUGGGGAAUAUUGCACAAUGGGCGCAAGCCUGAUGCAGCCAUGCCGCGUGUAUGAAGAAGGCCUUCGGGUUGUAAAGUACUUUCAGUCGUGAGGAAGGUGUUAAGGUUAAUAACCUUAGCAAUUGACGUUAGCGACAGAAGAAGCACCGGCUAACUCCGUGCCAGCAGCCGCGGUAAUACGGAGGGUGCGAGCGUUAAUCGGAAUUACUGGGCGUAAAGGGCACGCAGGCGGUUAAUUAAAGUUGGAUGUGAAAUCCCCGGGCUUAACCUGGGAAUGGCAUUCAAGACUGGUUAGCUAGAGUCUUGUAGAGGGGGUAGAAUUCCAUGUGUAGCGGUGAAAUGCGUAGAGAUGUGGAGGAAUACCGGUGGCGAAGGCGGCCCCUGGACAAAAGACUGACGCUCAUGUGCGAAAAGCGUGGGGAGCAAAACAGGGAUUAGAUACC
rnacentral:rRNA from 1 species